UGAAAAUAAAAGGGAAGGAUCAAAACACUUCAACUUUGGUUCACUAGCAUGGCUAGGGCUAGUGAACUCACAGCUAGGGAAAAUGCACCCUCAUCUACUUCAAAAACCCAGUGGAAACAUUCCCAAAUGAGGAGUAUGGUUACAGAAAUUUUUGAUCCACAAAGCUGACAAUUACGGCUAACAUCCAAUGUCCGCGAUUCUUCUCUUGUACUUUCAGAAUUACAGAUGGAAGCAGCCAGAUGAGGUGUAUAUGCAUGUAUGCAUAAUCAUUCGUUUGAUAAGCGAUCAUAUCGAAGGCUUAGUAGAGCAACUACAUAAUACAGAGCCACUUUCAAAGGAGCAUAUAUCAAGGCUCGUUUGGCUCGGCAAUGGAUGAAAAAACGAGAAAUAAUAAAUGUGCGUAGCAAACGAGCUCGACGAGCCGGUUCGUUUAGUGGAUGGUUAAGAGCCCUGUGUUCUGUAGUUUACUCUUAAGACAUUUUGCACAGGCAACAACACAAGACAUUCGUGCAACGAAAGAUUAAGAUGGACAGACCGAUGAGAACAAACAACAAUGGCGGAAAAGCCACACGUGUGCCUUGAUUGGUGGCUGUGUUACUUGCAGCUGAGUUCAAAAUUUGCAAGGAGGAAAUUAAAAAUAAACUGAAAGUGUAUGAGCUGUGGAGAAUUGGGCAGCAAUGACAUUUCUGUCUACACCUUUUAUAGUAUUUUCAUUUUAUCAAACAAAACAUCCAGCUUAAAAAUGAAACACUGAUAAACAAAUUUCCAGAAUUUGGUUCUGUUUUUCCCUUUUUUUUUUUUUUAAAAACCUAGCUUUUUUGUAUACCAUUUCAACAAACUCCCCAUUACUGGUAAUUCCAUUAACCCUUUAACUCCCAAGAUCUCAUUAGUAGUUCUCCUUACUGUCUGAAAUAUAGUCUUGUGAUGUUAGUUUAGAGAAUUUGGUAUUGGAUCAACUAAUGAUCCCCUAAUUAAGAUUUUUCUUUAUUCUCAUCAAUUGUCUGUUUGAUAUUAUAUUGAUACUGUAAGGAGAAAUUCUGUCUUGGUCACUCAUGGGAGCUAAAGGGUUAAUAAACAGCCUGUGAAAUUAUCACAGGUAACAACUUAGGGCAUCAACUGAUGCUUUCAAUGGUGCAAUGAAAGUAAUACUAAUUAAGAAAACCUGUAUGUCCAAGGUUCCAUUGGUCUACCAUGUGGAAGUAUGACAUUUGACCUUCUUAUAAACAGUGCACCCUUAUCUGAACUUCAAAUGUAAUUCAGUGCAGCAGAGAGUUAAUUCAGUGCAGAAGAGGGUUAACUCAGUGCAAAGAAAGAAACAAAUCAGACAUUCUGAUUGGUCAAUAAUCAAAGAAACUCACAGAUAGCCAAUCAAAUGCGAGCCUUGGAUGUCGCAACAAAAUUUGAAAAU